CGGAGGAUCCAAGCGUUAUCCGGAAUCAUUGGGUUUAAAGGGUCCGUAGGCGGGUUUAUAAGUCAGUGGUGAAAGCCCAUCGCUCAACGAUGGAACGGCCAUUGAUACUGUAGAUCUUGAAAUAUUAGGAAGUAACUAGAAUAUGUAGUGUAGCGGUGAAAUGCUUAGAGAUUACAUGGAAUACCAAUUGCGAAGGCAGGUUACUACUAAUGGAUUGACGCUGAUGGACGAAAGCGUGGGUAGCGAACAGGAUUAGAUACCCUGGUAGUCCACGCCGUAAACGAUGGAUACUAGCUGUUCGGAGCAAUCUGAGUGGCUAAGCGAAAGUGAUAAGUAUCCCACCUGGGGGAGUACGUUCGCAAGAAUG
rnacentral:rRNA from 1 species